CACGGGAGUCCGGUGCGCCGGGCUGAGAGGAAGGCCGCAGCCUUCGACCGUCACACCUGAUCUGGAUCAUGCCAGCGCAGGGAGACAUCUUCACCCGUGC
rnacentral:ncRNA from 1 species